AGUGAACGCUGGCGGUAGGCCUAACACAUGCAAGUCGAACGGCAGCACAGUAAGAGCUUGCUCUUACGGGUGGCGAGUGGCGGACGGGUGAGGAAUACAUCAGAAUCUACUUUUUCGUGGGGGAUAACGUAAGGAAACUUACGCUAAUACCGCAUACGACCUACGGGUGAAAGCAGGGGAUCUUCGGACCUUUCGCGAUUGAAUGAGCCGAUGUCGGAUUAGCUAGUUGGCGGGGUAAAGGCCCACCAAGGCGACGAUCCGUAGCUGGUCUGAGAGGAUGAUCAGCCACACUGGAACUGAGACACGGUCCAGACUCCUACGGGAGGCAGCAGUGGGGAAUAUUGGACAAUGGGCACAAGCCUGAUCCAGCCAUACCGCGUGGGUGAAGAAGGCCUUCGGGUUGUAAAGCCCUUUUGUUGGGAAAGAAAAGCAGCAGGUUAAUACCCCGCUGUUCUGACGGUACCCAAAGAAUAAGCACCGGCUAACUUCGUG
rnacentral:rRNA from 1 species